CCGCGCUAGCUGGGGAGUUAGCGGCGCCCUGUACCUGCAAUCCGCUACAGCAGGAGUGAAUUCCCGUCCCCGGAUCCUGCGGUGUGCCGUCCGCCCUGUGUGCGGGAGUGAUGAGGACCCGGUCUCGCGCAAUCGGAACCCGUGAACCAUGUCAGGCGGGGAACCGAGCAGCAUUAAGCGGUGCUAUCCGGUGUGCCGCGAGGGUGCCGUGUCCGAGUUUCCCACACAGGAAGCGGGUAUACCGCAGAUUCAAAGACGGGUGCGCGG
rnacentral:SRP_RNA from 1 species